rnacentral:rRNA from 1 species
AUGUGCUUCGAGUUCGGCUCCUGUUUUGGCGGCGGAAGGACGGACGACUACGGCGGCGAGCGGCCCAAUCGCAACAACGAGCACAGCGGUGGCCUUCGUGGCCGCGAACGCAGAGGGAACCACGGGAGCGCCUACAACGGUGGCGCCGCUGACCACAAAGCGGCGCUGCAGGUGGCGUACCACAACCAGCCGCCCGCCGCAGUCGACGAGGCCGGGCACAAGGCCUACGACGACGGCGCCGGUGGCCGCGGCGGUUACGCCGCCUACCCGCAACACAAGGCCGACCUCGAGGCGCCGAAGCUUCCCACGUGGCAAAACAAGGUCGGCGAGGACGCCUACACCGGGCGCCUCCAUGUCCAAGAACCUGCUGCCAUGGAUUACCCGGCUCUAGGCAGGUACUAG